UACGAAGGGGGCUAGCGUUGCUCGGAAUCACUGGGCGUAAAGCGCACGUAGGCGGCUUUCUAAGUCAGGGGUGAAAUCCUGGAGCUCAACUCCAGAACUGCCUUUGAUACUGGAGAGCUUGAGUCCGGAAGAGGUGAGUGGAACUCCGAGUGUAGAGGUGAAAUUCGUAGAUAUUCGGAAGAACACCAGUGGCGAAGGCGGCUCACUGGUCCGGUACUGACGCUGAGGCGCGAAGGCGUGGGGAGCGAACGGG
rnacentral:rRNA from 1 species